UACGUAGGGUGCAAGCGUUGUCCGGAAUUAUUGGGCGUAAAGAGCUCGUAGGCGGUCAGUCGCGUCUGCUGUGAAAACUCGGGGCUUAACCCCGGGUCUGCAUUCGAUACGGGCUGGCUAGAGUGUGGUAGGGGAGAUCGGAAUUCCUGGUGUAGCGGUGAAAUGCGCAGAUAUCAGGAGGAACACCGGUGGCGAAGGCGGAUCUCUGGGCCAUUACUGACGCUGAGGAGCGAAAGCGUGGGGAGCGAACAGG
rnacentral:rRNA from 1 species